rnacentral:rRNA from 1 species
AUUGAACGCUGGCGGCAUGCCUUACACAUGCAAGUCGAACGGUAACAGGUCUUCGGAUGCUGACGAGUGGCGGACGGGUGAGUAAUGCAUCGGAACGUGCCCAGUUGUGGGGGAUAACUGCUCGAAAGAGCAGCUAAUACCGCAUACGACCUGAGGGUGAAAGCGGGGGAUCGCAAGACCUCGCUCAAUUGUAGCGGCCGAUGUCAGACUAGGUAGUUGGUGGGGUAAAGGCAUACCAAGCCGACGAUCUGUCGGUGGUAUGAGAGGAGGACCAGCCGCACGGGGACUGGGACACGGCAGAGACUCCUACGGGAGGCAGCAGUGGGGAGUUUUGGACAAUGGGCGGAAUCCUGAUCCAGCAAUGCCGCGUGCAGGAAGAAGGCCUUCGGGUUGUAAACUGCUUUUGUCAGGGAAGAAAUCCUCUGGGUUAAUACCCCGGGGGGAUGACGGUACCUGAAGAAUAAGCACCGGCUAACUACGUGCCAGCCGCCGCAGUAAAAC